rnacentral:tRNA from 12 species
GUAUAUAUAGUUUAAUAAACACUAGGCUGUGACCCUAGAGAUGAAAGUUUAACUCUUUCUAUAAACC